UCGAGUUUUUGGACGCAGUUGCGCCCAAAGCCAUCCGGUUGAGGGCACGCCUGCCUGGGCGUCA
rnacentral:rRNA from 1 species